UACGUAGGGUGCAAGCGUUGUCCGGAAUUAUUGGGCGUAAAGAGCUCGUAGGCGGUCUGUCGCGUCGGCUGUGAAAUCUCGGGGCUCAACCCCGAGCCUGCAGUCGAUACGGGCAGACUAGAGUGCUGUAGGGGAGACUGGAAUUCCUGGUGUAGCGGUGAAAUGCGCAGAUAUCAGGAGGAACACCGGUGGCGAAGGCGGGUCUCUGGGCAGUAACUGACGCUGGAGGAGCGAAAGCCGUGGGGAGCGAACAGGA
rnacentral:rRNA from 1 species